UACGAAGGGGGCUAGCGUUGCUCGGAAUCACUGGGCGUAAAGCGCACGUAGGCGGCUUUCUAAGUCAGGGGGGAAAUCCUGGAGCUCAACUCCAGAACUGCCUUUGAUACUGGGGAGCUCGAGUCCGGAAGAGGUGAGUGGAACUCCGAGUGUAGAGGUGAAAUUCGUAGAUAUUCGGAAGAACACCAGUGGCGAAGGCGGCUCACUGGUCCGGUACUGACGCUGAGGUGCGAAAGCGUGGGGAGCAAACAGG
rnacentral:rRNA from 1 species